rnacentral:rRNA from 1 species
AGGACGAACGCUGGCGGCGUGCUUAACACAUGCAAGUCGAGCGGAAAGGCCUUUCGGGGUACUCGAGCGGCGAACGGGUGAGUAACACGUGAGUAAUCUGCCCAUCGCUUCAGAUAGCCAUCGGAAACGGUGAUUAAUACUGGAUAUGACAUUCCUUCGCAUGUUGGGGUGUGGAAAGUUUUUCGGCGGCGGAUGUGCUCGCGCCUAUCAGCUUGUGGUGGGUAAUGGACCUACCAAGGUCUUUGGACGGGUUAGCCGACUGAGAGACGUCGACCGGCCACGAUAGGGACUGAGACACGGCCCAGACCGUCCGUACGGGAGCCUAGCGAGUGGGAA